GUAGGUGGCGAGCGUUGUCCGGAAUUAUUGGGCGUAAAGCGCGCGCAGGCGGUUCUUUAAGUCUGAUGUGAAAGCCCACGGGCUCAACCGUGGGGGGUCAUUGGAAACUGGAGAACUUGAGUACAGAAGAGGAAAGCGGAAUUCCACGUGUAGCGGUGAAAUGCGUAGAGAUGUGGAGGAACACCAGUGGCGAAGGCGGCUUUCUGGUCUGUAACUGACGCUGAGGCGCGAAAGCGUGGGGAGCAAACAGGAUUAGAUACCCUGGUAGUCCACGCCGUAACGAUGAGUGCUAAGUGUUAGGGGGUUUCCGCCCCUUAGUGCUGCAGCUAACGCAUUAAGCACUCCGCCUGGGGAGUACGGCCGCAAAGGCUG
rnacentral:rRNA from 1 species